UGGGGAAUAUUGCACAAUGGGCGCAAGCCUGAUGCAGCCAUGCCGCGUGUAUGAAGAAGGCCUUCGGGUUGUAAAGUACUUUCAGCGGGGAGGAAGGGAGUAAAGUUAAUACCUUUGCUCAUUGACGUUACCCGCAGAAGAAGCACCGGCUAACUCCGUGCCAGCAGCCGCGGUAAUACGGAGGGUGCAAGCGUUAAUCGGAAUUACUGGGCGUAAAGCGCACGCAGGCGGUUUGUUAAGUCAGAUGUGAAAUCCCCGGGCUCAACCUGGGAACUGGAUCUAAUACUGGCAGGCUAGAGUCUUGUAGAGGGGGGUAGAAUUCCAGGUGUAGCGGUGAAAUGCGUAGAGACCUGGAGGAAUACCGGUGGCGAAGGCGGCCCCCUGGACAAAGACUGACGAUCAGGUGCGAAAGCGUGGGGAGCAAACAGG
rnacentral:rRNA from 1 species